rnacentral:rRNA from 1 species
UACGUAGGGCGCAAGCGUUGUCCGGAUUUAUUGGGCGUAAAGAGCUCGUAGGUGGCUGAGUAAGUCGGAUGUUAAAUCCCCAGGCUCAACCUGGGACACCACCCCGAUACUGCUCUGGCUAGAGUCCGGUAGGGGAGCGUGGAAUUCCGGGUGUAGCGGUGAAAUGCGUAGAGAUCCGGAGGAACACCAGUGGCGCAGGCGGCUCACUGGACCACAACUGACGCUGAGGCGCGAAAGCUAGGGGAGCAAACAGG